AAGUGGGGGACCUUCGGGCCUCUUGCCAUCAGAUGUGCCCAGAUGGGAUUAGCUAGUAGGUGUCUUUACGGCUCACCUAGGCGACGAUCCCUAGCUGGUCUGAGAGGAUGACCAGCCACACUGGAACUGAGACACGGUCCAGACUCCUACGGGAGGCAGCAGUGGGGAAUAUUGCACUAUGGGCGCAAGCCUGAUGCAGCCAUGCCGCGUGUAUGAAGAAGGCCUUCGGGUUGUAAAGUACUUUCAGCGGGGAGGAAGGCGAUAAGGUUAAUAACCUUGUCGAUUGACGUUACCCGCAGAAGAAGCACCGGCUAACUCCGUGCCAGCAGCCGCGGUAAUACGGAGGGUGCAAGCGUUAAUCGGAAUUACUGGGCGUAAAGCGCACGCAGGCGGUCUGUCAAGUCGGAUGUGAAAUCCCCGGGCUCAACCUGGGAACUGCAUUCGAAACUGGCCGGCUAGAGUCUUGUAGAGGGGGGUAGAAUUCCAGGUGUAGCGGUGAAAUGCGUAGAGAUCUGGAGGAAUACCGGUGGCGAAGGCGGCCCCCUGGACAUAGACUGACGGUCAGGUGC
rnacentral:rRNA from 1 species